UACGUAGGGUGCGAGCGUUAAUCGGAAUUACUGGGCGUAAAGCGUGCGCAGGCGGUUCGUUAAGUUCGAUGUGAAAGCCCCGGGCUCAACCUGGGAACUGCAUUGGAAACUGGCGAGCUUGAAUGCGGCAGAGGGGGGUGGAAUUCCGCGUGUAGCAGUGAAAUGCGUAGAGAUGCGGAGGAACGCCGAUGGCGAAGGCAGCCCCCUGGGCCGACAUUGACGCUCAGGCACGAAAGCGUGGGGAGCAAACAGG
rnacentral:rRNA from 1 species